GCUGAAGAUGUUCCAGUUGAUCAGUUUACCCCACUGGGACGCAUGCUAUACAAGGCGCCUUCUGAUGGAAAAUGGGGAGAGCAUGAACUUGAUUAUCUGCUCUUUAUAGUCGUGAUGUUAAUGUCAAUCCAAACCCUGAUGAGGUCGCUGAUAUAAAAUAUGUUAACCGGGAUGAGUUGAAGGAGCUUUUGAAGAAAGCGGAUGCUGGUGAGGAAGGUUUAAAGUUGUCACCUUGGUUUAGACUAGUUGUGGA
rnacentral:misc_RNA from 1 species